AGGGACAACAAGAACGAGAAGUGGAGUAAGGGAUCUCUAUAGGAGACUCCUCUACUGAUCUUCAUGAAGCUAAGCAGCUACAGUGGUGACAACAUGCAGUCCUGACAGCUUCCAUCCAGCAUGUGCUUUGGGUAGAUCAGAAACAUUCUGAAUUGUGCUUCCACUAACGAUCAUUGACAGAUAGAAAUUAAUUAAUAGCGGAGCUCGGGCUUUCCAGUUAUGCAGUUGGUGCCAAUUCCUCACAAUCAACAACCAGGAAAUGGACAUCAUUAAUAGAUUAAUCGCAUGUGCUGGAAAACAGAAAGCCAGCUGACUAUGCCCCUGUGAGAAGCAUAGGCAGUGUUUGGCUCGCAGUGGUUUCACUGAGGAAGAGGCAGGAAGUGUAGCUUGGGAGAGAUGCCCAGUAUUAUGGAUUAAUUAACAGUCUGUAUUCCUUCUCCCUAUGGACUUAAUGGACCUAUACUGUCUUCUGCCUAUGGCAGACAAAUGCAAUGCUCCAGAGAGCAAUUCACCUCAUCCUCAGAUGAUGAUUAUGAGAGAUGAGGCAAACUGUACCUCUGAGUCAUCUGCUCUCCCAGAAACAAGGCUGGGAGUGAUGAGCUGUGACUUGGACAAGGAUCCUUUAACCUCAGACAGCAGAAAGAGAUGAGACUCUCGAGGGGAUGAUUCAUCCUCUUCAAUGAUAAGUAUCUGACACAGAGAUGUGCCUGGAAAGAAAAUUGGAAGAUGCGGCAGGUGUGUUUCCAGCAAUUAAGAGGAAUUCAUCCUCUCCAUUUAUAGCGGUAUGAGGAGGAAGCAGGGGAAAAAAAAAAAAAGAUCUAAAUGCUGACAAAUAAUAUACUGAUGUUUUUCUUUGCCUGAAUGGAAAUUCUGGGCUCAGUUGUGCAAAGGAAAGAUUCUGGGACCUCCAUGAGCCCCUUCUGCAGAUUUCACCUGAGCAACUUUAUCAGUAACACGAUGAUCCUCUGGGCAGGAUUAAUUUCUGGACUACAGCAUCUGACCUGAGAUGACUCUAUGUGGGCUGUGUAACUUACUGUGCAGUCUGUGGGAGUUUGGUCAGCUUGGGAGGGACUCAGCUGGCCAGCAGUCUGCUUUGGAGCCAGAAGAAGUACUCUUGUAUUGAGUGGAUCUCUGCUCACUAAAGUGGGAGUUCAGCCCUCUAAUGUGCCUGUA
ensembl:lncRNA